GAGUGCUUGAAGAACUGUACAUGUAGAGCUUACACUGAUUCCAAAUUAACAGGACGAGACAGUGGCUGUUUAAUGUGGUUUGGGGACCUGAUUGAUAUGAGAAAGACAAUUAGAAACUUCACCGGGCAGUCAGUCUACAUACGAGUACCUGCUCCGGAACCAGGUACAAUUAUUUCCGGAGUAAUUGUCUAAUUGAUAGUGCAAAAGUUCCACUUCUUUGUUACAGCGAGGCUUGGGCUACUUGUUUCAGGAGUUAAAUUGAAGACUCAAAUUUUAGUUUUCUUACAGUUCAACAUGUGUCUAUUGGUUAUCGAACUACCCUGCUAAGAGUCUAGUACCUGGCUUUACAUAGGAUAUUAUUUAUGUAUAGCCAUCGAAUUUUGAGUCAUGGUUGUCUCAGUUGAUAUAUCAAGCUGGCCAACUUUUGCUAAACAAUUUGUUAAUCAAUUAGAUUAAUAUCAAACGACAUGAGUUCUGAGUGUUGGUAAGUAAGCUCACUAGUGGAGAUUAAAGAAAUAAUUAUAUUACAAGGAUUAUUUGACAGCAUGUACGGCCAUGUAAAGUGAAAUUGAUCUCUAUAUUGGUCACUCUUCAACUGCUAUGCCCGUCGGUGUGUUAAAAGGCUGCAAUUUCACAUUGAUAUUUGGCUCUUUCCCACAUUUUUUGCAAAAUUAAGCUAGAUUUUUGCAUUCUUUUGAUUGACUUACUUUGAUAACGUAUAUACUUUUGGGUCCAGGAAACAAGAAGCUACUAUGGACAACUAUAAUAAUUGUUCUUCCGGUGGUACUUGUUGCUGUUUAUGUUUUUUGUCGAAAGAGGAGAAAACUCAAGGACAAAGGUGACCUUUUAGAUCACUCUCAUAUGUUUUCUGUUCCCAUGAGUAUACUAGUGCAUAGGAGAAAACUGUACGCUCACUUUCCUUAAAGCUGUCUUGCAGAAAGAACGAAAACUGAAAUAAGCCAGGAUAUGCUGUUAUUCGACAAAAAUAUGGUCAAUGCGGCAGGAGCAAAAAAUAAGAGUACGGAAUCUUGGUUCCCAUUUUUCAGCUUGGCAAGCAUAACUGCAGCUACCGAUAACUUCUGUGAAGAAAAUAAGUUAGGAGAAGGUGGCUUUGGACCUGUGUAUAAGGUACCAUUCUUGUCAUAUUAACUACAAAAACAGAGUGAAGAGUGAUGUGUUGAAAUAUGAAAUUGAUCAGGGAAAACUACUUAAUGGAGAGGAAGUCGCAGUUAAAAGGCUUUCAAGUCAGUCAGGACAAGGACUAGAAGAGUUUAAAAAUGAGAUGAUGCUUAUAGCAAAACUUCAACACAGAAACCUUGUAAGACUUUUUGGUUGCUGUAUAGAACAAGGUGAAAAGAUUUUGAUUUAUGAGCACAUGCCUAACAAAAGCUUGGAUUAUUUUCUUUUUGGUAUGUAAUUUUUAUCAUUUAUUCAAAAAACGACCUGUAUCAUUUACGAUUAUAGAUGUUCCUCAUGUAACGGUUUGAUAUUGUAACAGAUCCCACCAAAAAAGGGCUUUUAUGUUGGGGAACACGAAUUAGAAUCAUUGAAGGAAUUGCUCAAGGACUUCUAUAUCUUCACCAAUAUUCUAGAUUAAGGGUUAUUCACAGAGAUCUCAAGACAAGUAAUAUUCUCUUAGAUAAAGACAUGAACCCCAAAAUAUCAGAUUUUGGUAUGGCAAGAAUGUUUGGUGGAGAUGAAUUGCAGUCAAACACGAAAAGGAUAGUUGGAACUUAGUAUGUAUACUAGAAUUGCGGUUAUUAUUUAAAUCCUCAUUCAAAUAUUACCUGCUUGCCUGUGUUUGUAAAUCCUUUUUAGAUGCUUAAAUAUGUGAUGGAACUAUGAAUUUCAGUGGUUAUAUGUCACCUGAGUAUGCGCUGCGCGGCUUAUUCUCUAUCAAAUCUGAUGUAUUCAGCUUUGGAGUAUUGUUGUUGGAAACACUGAGUAGCAAGAAAAAUAGCCACUUCUAUAAUACUGAUUCGCUUACCCUUCUUGGCCAUGUAAGUGGCAAUAUUUCCCACUUUUUUUGGGCUCUUUGAAUAUAUUAAGACGAAUCUCAUAAUUGUUCUAAAUGAAGAAAGCUACAAUCAUUGAACUGGAAAAGUAAAAAGUUUCCUAGCUAUUGCAGUAAACAAUAUGAGAGUUAGCUUAUCAUUUAGCAUUUGAAUUUCUGUUAUUCUUCAGGCAUGGAAUCUGUGGAAUGAUGGUAGAACCUGCGAACUGAUGGAUCCCAUAUUGCAGAAUGAAGCAUCAUAUCCGAUCCUGAAGAGAUACGUUAACGUAGCCCUUCUCUGUGUUCAAGAAAAUGCAGCAGAUAGACCAACCAUGUCAGAAGUUGUCUCAAUGCUUUCAAAUGAAAUUGUUAAUUUACCUUCUCCCCAACAACCUGCUUUUUCAUGUGUAAAUUCCGCAAAUAUGCAGCCAGAUGCUUUUUCAGUGAAUUGCGUAACACAUUCGGUGAUGGAUGCUCGAUAGCUGAACGCGUCUUGCUUUAUGUGUUUUUAUCUGAAUUUUCUUUUCUUGUAGACAAUAAAUAAAAGUCUAUUACUUCACUAUUUAUACAAUCAGUGCACGCAAAGAUUAAAAUAAAAUCUAAUCUUGCAGGUUGCAUAUCAAAUCGCGUGAGUUAAGAAUUGUACAUCGUGCUUUUACCGACUUAACUUUUUUGACAUGCUGAUAUUUGUCCUGAGAGCUUGGCUUUGAAGUAGAAAGACCAGUGUCGUGAGCUUCCUUUCCACUCAAGCUGAAGCCGCGAGGAUGUAUAUUGUGCUUGGCUUUGAAGUAGCGGAAGAUAAUGAAAAAAGUGGCUUCGUCAAGACAUUAAUAACUUGUCAUGGUACAUAAAAUCUUCUGUUUUCCAUAUUUUUCUCUCAUCAAAACCUUCCCAACUAGAGUCUGUCCCAGGGACUAAUACCUGUUAUCGAGUUCUUUCUAGUCUUUGUGCCCCAAACUUGGAACUAUAAUCUCAAACCUUCCUGAUGAACUUUAUUUCUGGAAGAUCGCAUCUUUUCAGCAUGCAAUAUUUAGUGAUCUUAGUCUUUGCAAAGUUUAUGGUUAAGUAUAUUAAAAUCAAAUCAGCCGUCAUCAUGUUUCUCAUCAAUUUACAUUAGUCAGUAUUUGAUGUAAACUAGGUGUCAUCAUGAUAUAGUCAGAUCCAUCUCAUUUAAUUUACGUCCGUGGGUGCUGGGAGGAGUUGUCUUUCAUUUUUACGUGUUUGGUUUUAGAGAAUAAAUAUAUGGUAACAACUGAGGUCGAAUACUGAACUAUGAUCCGGUCUUUCUCUAUUAUGUAUUUGAUUUUCAGAUCAAAAGUGUCGAAACCAAAUCAGUAAAGAAACCAAUUUGGACUCCCCCAAGAUCCACUCUAGGGCACUUAAUCUCUGGUUAUGAUCUCAAUAAACUAAACUUAAUGUGAUCCUUAUUAGUUAACUGAAACUAAUCAAGGAAUUGAAGCAAAAUCAGAAUCAGAUCUCACAAACACUGCACAAAGGUUUAUAGUGUUCGGUCACUUUCUUGCCUACAUCCACUGUGAAAAAAGAAGCAAACUUUCACUAAUUUUAGAGCUUACAAGAUACAAUGCUUAGGAGUAGAAAUAACUGAAUGAUGAUAAUAAAGUAACAGACCAUAAGACUUUAUAAAUUACAAGAAAAUCAUCUAGAACUGUCCCUUCUUGACCACCUCACGUUUCUGGGUUUAUUUGCAAACAAACCCCGCAGCAACCUGCGUGUAUAACAGAUUUUUACGGCCAUUUGAACUGCUGAUCGACACAGGCCAAAGGCUCACUCAAUCUGUUACUUAAACGCAAAUAUGGCUGCCGUCUUGAUUAUGUGAAACACGUAAUGAUUUAUGUGUAUUACUAAUCCACCCAGCUGACAUUACAUCUCUGUCAUACAGCUCCCUGAAAUGCCAUGUCCGACUUGUCGUAUAUACAUGAACAUAUAUUCGACAUGUCAGACGCAAUCUCAUGCCCAGAUACGAGGCCAAGACGUACAAUUUUCCGGCUUGAACGUGCUGGUUGCUAAGAUUUCUUGUCCGGUUGUCCACUGUAACUUUAUUUGAUCAUUAUAAAUUCGGGUUGGCCUAAGUGUUGAUGCUGAAAUCGGCUCGCAUUUACCCGAUCAGAUUUUUACACCAACGUUCACAUUAUCAAUAAUGAAGAUAUUAAUUCUUUCUUGCUUCAGCGACUGCUCCAGCCACUGGCGUUGGAAUUGUCCCUCUUUUUCUCACUAAGCAUGCGUUCACAAAAGUGGAUCAGAGACGCCGGUGGUUUUGCCGGCGUAAAUCCUCCAAUGCCUAAGUUAGUACAAGGUGUUUACGGAAAAACGGUGCAAUUAAGGUUCAAAUAAUUGCUUAGAAUUGGCUCACUCUCGGUAUUGACAAAGUAUCUGGAUACAAUUUGGCAGAGUUUUCCCUUCUCUCAGUUUUUCUAUCCCUUUCUUCAUCGAUUUCUUCUUCUUUUAUAGUCGUUGUCUCACGUUCCCGUUUAGCCUUCAUCCCUCCUUUUUCGGGUGGUGGCAGCCCCUCAUGGGACUCUAACUGCUAUAAUAUGGGCAAACGUGGGAUCUCGCGUCUCCCGCAACGAUUCUGGGAAAAGCGCAACUACCAUGAUUCUGUGGGAUCGUGUUCCCGCUUUUUCGGGGGAUGGGUAUCGUCUCGGUAUAUACCUCUGGUCGGUAUACUCCCCUGGUUGGUACUUGUCUCUGGUCGGCUCAUAUUUGUCCCCGUGUUCUGCUCGUACCAUUUGGCUGAGGUGAUCCAUGCCAGGGCGGAAAUAGUAGCAUGGCCAACCUAGUGCUUUUAUUUACUUAACACCAGUCCCCCAGUUUCUGGUCUUGCGAGUGAAAUGAGUUAAGAGUAGAAACUGAUAGUCCAAUCUUACCGACCUGGGGGCUUCUCAUCUGGUCUUCUGUUUACCGGGACGGACCUGAGGUGCCAUUUUUCUUCUGGGGAGGUUCCAACCUGAGCAUGGGCCUUAAUGAGCAUGUCCAUUGCAUAUCUGGGCUUGCAUCUAGCCUGGCCUCUCGUAACGGUUAGUGACGUGGCAUCUCCAGACUCUUCGUAUUUGAAUUUUGAAACGACGGGCUAUUCGUCCUCGAUAUACAGUAAGUGAGCUGGCAUCCCUAUCACUUAAAUGCUUUCAUUUCCUCCUUUUCGUUUCAAAUCCCUAGACUUACAUCAUCAUCGUUUUGUUAUUCGUCCCUCCGGCGUUAACCUACCCCCUCUUUGAACUUUACUCACACUUCCUGUGUCCGGAGCAUCUACUUGCUGGGCUUUUUCUCUGUCACGGCAGCGCUAUCAGGGCCAGUUCAUUCCAUGUAUUGCUUUUAAUCUCUUCUCUGGUUGUUGUUGAUUGGGUUCUGUGUUGCCCCCUUUUGUAUCCGUAUACUCGAGUUUUCUUUGUUUUCUUUUGGGAUUCCGAUAUGUCAAAUCAGAAAAGGAAGUUAAUUGUUGAUGAGAGUGAUGAAGAAAUAGGGGAUUCAGACCCUAACGUGUCAAUACCCACCGAUUUCUUAGGUCCCUCCAAUAGUGUAGGUCCUUCCCAUGGCAGGGAUACCCUUGAAUACCCACGCCCCCUGACCAUUUCGCCUUCCCCUGAAUUAGAGAUUAUGGGGAAUAAAGGUGGACCCGCAUCCGGCACUAGUGAGGAUCACAGUUAUGGUGGAGUUGGGGUCCCUGAAGAAGUGGGUGAUGGCGAGGGAAGUAGUUCCGAGCCGAGCGGACCCUCUAGGAAAAUGAACAUUGGUCAUAAGGUGGAGGCGGAUUCUUACCCUAUUGAUUUCAUAGCUUGUGUCAUUACUCCCACUGAUCUAUUCAAACUCAGGAACCUCUACAACAUUCCCGAGGAGGUUCUCCUUGUAGUUCCUGGGAAAGGUAAUGUACCUAGUCAGCCUCCGAAGGGGUAUGUGACGAUGCACUUGGAGAGUUUCAGACUAGGAGCUCGACUGCCCCUUCAACGUUAUUUCGCCAAGAUAUUGGGCGGUAUGCACCUGGCUCCAGGUCAGCUACACCCAAACGGGUGGAGGGUUCUCUCGGCUAUGUUUGUGCUGUGGGAGAGGUGCGGGUAGGAGGAACCUUCCCUUGUUGAAGUGAAGCAUCUGUACCAGCUGCGGAGCAACCCAAAGGAGGCGGGCUGGUACUACUUCAUGUCCAGUUUUGCAAAGAGGAAACCGAUCACCGGGUUUCCUUCUUCAUGUAAGAAUUGGAAGAACAAAUUCUUCUUUGCUGGAGGAAACUGGUGUCCAGCAGUCCGGUCUCUUGGUGGGGAUAUUUACCUUCCAAUGCAUUUUGUCACCCCAGGUCGUUCAUUUUUGCUUAUAUUCUUAAUCAAAAUUGCCACUUAUUAGGUUCUUUAACCUUGUUUGUUUUUUCAGAAUCUUGGGGUUUGGUUAAGGACCUUGAAGACCAACCCUUGCUCCAGGUUGAAACUACUCUGGUGAACGUGUCUACCUGUCAAGACUUGCUGUCACCAACAAACUUAGUCGGUUCAGGCUUAGUGGACAUUGCUGCCGGGAUGGAUAACAAGAUCCUCAGUGCAAUGAGCAGAAAGCGUGGUCGGGCUCUGAGCAACUCCAGCAACCCUCCUCCUCCUCCGAAGAAAGUCAGUGUUGUCCCUUCUAAGGCUUCUGUUCCUGCUCUGUCCCCUCCUCCAUCUCGUAAGAUUGUCGGGGAGAAAACUACUGACAAGAGUUCUGAGGUCAGCACACGCUCUGGGGACCGAUCCUCUCCUCUUCUGGCUCGUGAUCAGGGUGACUACCUGACCCCGUAUCAGAGGGACUAUGGGAAGUUAGUGGGACCGAAGAUGGUCCAGGACAUUGAGAGCAUGAAUCUCAAUGAAUUAGCUGGUUCCGUCCAAAGGGUCUCCUUCAAGUUGGCCACCAUAGUAUCUUGUUACAAGAAUAGGAUCACGCGCCAGGAGAGAAAGCUCCAAGCUGAGAACCAGGACUUGAAGAAAAGGGUUGAGUCUGCUAAUCGCUCGAAGGAGAAGCUGGCCAAGCUGAACAGGCAGAUUACGGAGCUAGAGGAGAAAGUUGCGGUUGCUGAGUCCACUUCCUCCAAACUUGAGGGUGAGUUGGGUGACCUGAAGUCCGAUCUUCAGGCUACUCAAAGUGAAAGAGAUACUUUGAGGACCGCCCUUGAGGGAGAGAUCAAAUCCCUGAGUGAGCAGCUGGCUGAGGAGAAAGGCAAAUCCGCUGAUGUGGACGAUCGGCUGGAUGCCGAGUAUGACUCUGGGUUGCUUUCUCCUAUAAGUGCAUCAUGUCUGUGCUUAAGGAAGAAUAUCCCGAGCUGGACAUGAGCAAGCUGGAGGCUGGAGUGCAGUGGUAUAUGGCGGAGAUCGGCCAGACAGAUAAGGAGCAGGGUGAGCAGGAUCAGGUGGAGGCUCCUUUAGAUGGGGUGCAGGAGGGGGAAGCUGGGGGACGUGCUUUUGAAGUGGGACAAGGGUCCGUACCUCCUCCUCCCGAUAUUGCUGAUCUUCCACCUCCAUAAAUAGCUGAUCCUUCACCUACUGAAGCCGUUGACCCUCCUAAUCCUUAGGUCUAUUUUUGUAUAGACUCUAGAUUUUCAUUCGUUUUGUAAACAUUUAAACAUUUAUAAAUUUUUAGAUGCUCUCUAUUGGCUUUCUUGUCUAGUUUUUUAUCAUAGAUUGUUUCUGCAAAAUAAUUGGACAACUUAUCUGAUUUUGCCUGCUGGUUCCUUAGUGGACCGGCUAGAAGUAGGCAUUUACUUGCCUUAGUAAAAUUUUCGUAAAAUUGAUUGCUGGUCUUUUGUUGACCGAGCAGAAGUAGGCACUUACUUGCCUUAGUAGAAUUUUUGUAAAAUUAGCUGCUGGUCUUUCGUUGACCGAGCAGAAUUAGGCACUUACUUGUCUUGGUAAAAUUUCCGCAAAAUUAGCUGCUGGUCUUUCGUUGACCGAGCAGAAGCAGGCACUUACUUGCCUUAGUAGAAUUUUCACAAAAUUAGCUGUUGGUCUUUCGUUGAUCGAGCAGAAGCAAGCACUUAUUGCCUUAGUAGAAUUUUCACAAAAUUAGCUGCUGGUCUUUUGUUGACCGAGCAGAAGUAGGUACUUACUUGCCUUGGUAAAAUUUCUACAAAAUUAGCUGCUGGUCUUUCGUUGACCGAGCAGAAGCAGGCACUGACUUGCCUUAGUAGAAUUUUUGUAGAAUUAGCUGCUGGUCUUUCGUUGACCAAGCAGAAGCAGACACUUACUUGCCUUAGUAGAAUUUUCAUAGAAUUAGCUGCUGGUCUUUCGUUGACUGAGCAGAAGCAGGCGCUUACUUGCCUUAGUAGAAUUUUCGUAGGAUUAGCUGCUGGUCUUUCGUUGACUGAGCAGAAGUAGACACUUAUUUGCCUUAGUAGAAUUCGUUAAUGGGCUUGUUAGCAGGGGGAUUUCAUGCUGAAUUCAUCUUUAUUAAAAUUUGAAUGUGUUACAGAAAUACAGAAUAUAUGCAUGUGCAACAAGCCAUCAUGCAUUUAACAUAUAUAAUUUAUCAAAAUAAAAAUUUAGUAGAGCACUUUACUUACUGGAAAUACUUCUUUAAGUGCUCGGCGUUCCACGACCUCUUCACGUCUCGUCCAUCCGGGUAUGCUAACUUAUAAGCUCCUAGUCCAGUCGCUCGUAUCACCCUAUACGAGCCUUCCCAUUUUGGGCCAAGAGCACCAUGGUUGGGAUCCCUAGUGUUUUAAUUCACCUUCCUAAGUACCCAAUCCCCUGCUCGGAAUUGCCUCAUGCGUACGUUUUUGUUGUAAUAACGCAUGACCCUUUGCUGACACUGGGCCACUUUCUGCAAGGCCCCUUCUCUUUUUUCCUCCAGCAGGUCCAGGCUCAAGCAGAUCUGUUCCCCAUUUUACUCUUCAUUAAAGUAUUGCGUCCGGUGUGUUCCUAUUCUAAUUUCUGCUGGAACUACCGCCUCAUGACUAAAAGCUAAAGCAAACGGGGUUUCCCCUGUAGCAGUUUUGUAAGUUGUCCGAUAAGCCCACAAUACCCCUGGUAGCUCGUCAACCUAAGCUCCCUUCUUCUCUCCCAGUCUAGUCUUCAGGAGUUUCUUUAUCACUUUGUUGGCUGCUUCCACUUGUCCAUUUUCCUAGGGGUGCGCGGGGGGUGCAGAACUUCAGGUCCACCCCUAAGUUCCAGCAAAAUUCUCUGAAAUUAUUGUUGUCAAAUUAUCUCCCAUUGUCUGUAAUGAUGACAUAGGGGAUCCCGUAUCUGCAGAUGAUAUUUUUUCAAAUAAAAUCCGUCGUCUUUCUCUCCGUAAUUUGGCUGAGGACUCCCACCUCUACUCACUUAAUGAAGUAGUCUAUUGCCACAAUCGCAUGUGUUGCCGCUCCUCGGCCCUUAGGUAAUGGACCGAUCAGGUCGAUUCCCCAUUGGGCAAAAGGCUAUGGGGAUGUCAUUGUGGUCAGUUUUUCUGGGGGUUGUGUAGGAACCUCAGAGAAGCUUUGGCAUGUUUUACAGUUCUUUGCCAUCCUUUUUGCAUCCUGGUGCAUGGUUGGCUAGAAGUAUCCUUGCCGGAGUGCAUUGAAGGCUAAAGUUCUUGCUUCCAAGUGAUUGCCACAUAUUCCUUCAUGAAUCUCCCUUAGUACAUAAUCUGCCUCCUCAUCAUUCAAACAUCGCAAAAGAGGUAAAGUGAAUCAUCGGCGGUAUAGCACCCUAUCGAGUAGUGCGUACCUCGCUGCUCGGCAUUUUAACUUUCUUGCUUGCCUUUUGUCCUCCGGUAAAAUGUCAUCGCGGAUGUAUGCAAGAAUCGGGUCCAUCCAGGAUUCUCAGUGCUUACUCUCAUUACCUCUACUUCCUCCCUUAUACUCGGCGAGGUUCUUACCUCUAGUGGAACUGACUUAGGUAAUUUAGGAUCUACAGUUGCAGCCAUCCUAGCCAACAUGUCAGCUCGAUAAUUUUUAUUCCAGGAUAUCUGCUUCACCUCUACCUUAUUGAAGAAUUCAACCAUUUGCUUCGCCUUCUUUAAAUAAAGCCCCAAUUUCUUUUCCCUUACUUGGAAUUGAUCGCUAAGCUGCUUACAUACUAGCUGGGAAUCUGCUCGGAUUUCUACUCUUUCUGUCCGUAGUGCAUGUGCAAGACCGAGCCCAGUAAUGAAGGCCUCAUAUUCUGCUUGGUUGUUCGUAAGCUGGAACUAGAACUUUACAGCAUAGGAUACCUCGACACCUUCUGGGCUUCGUAUUAUAACUCCUGCCCCGAAUCCAUGUUCACUACGUGACCCAUCAACCAUUAACAGCCAUACCCCCUUUUGAUCCUCCUGCUCUGCUGCUUGUUCCUCUUAGACCUUUUCCCCUGGUUCAACAUAGUCAACCAUAAAAUCAGCCAGGGCUUGGGCCUUGAUUGCUCCUCGGGGCUUGUAGGAUAGGUCGAAUUCGCUCAACUCCACGGACCACUUCACUAACCGCCCUGAUGCAUCUGGUUUUUGGAGCAUUUGCCGAAGAGGCUGGUCAGUCAUCAUAAUUAUCGGGUGGGCCUGAAAAUAUGGUCGCAGUUUUCGUGCUGCUGUUAUUAAAGUCAGUGCCCAUUUCUCCAUCAAUGGGUACCUAGUUUCUGCGUCUAUCAGGGCUUUACUAGUGUAAUACACGGGGUGUUGCUUCCCUUCUUCUUUUCGGACUAACACUGAGCUGGUAGCCCAUUUUGAGAUUGCCAAGUACAAAAACAGCUGGUCAACUUCUCUCGGAGUUGAUAGUAACGGGGCAUGGGCCAGAUACUCCUUCAGCUGCCUAAACGCCUCCUCACAUUCUGAUGUCCACUCCAUCUUCCUCCCUUUCUUUAUGGUUUGGAAGAAUGGGUGGCAUUUAUCUGUGGCCUGCCAGAUGAAUCGGUUCAAUGCUGCCAAUUUCCAUAUAAGGCUCUGCACCUCCUUAACUGUUCGUGGGGAUCUCAUUUCUGUUACCGCCCGUAUUUUCUUCGGGUUGGCCUCGAUCCCUCGGUGGCUUACUAGGAAUCCCAAAAAUUUGCCCGAGCUGACCCUAAAUACACAUUUCUUCGGGUUAGCUUCAUUUCAUACUUCCUCAGCAAUUCAAAGGUUUCCUCCAAGUGUUUCACGUGAUCCCUCGGUUCUCUGGACUUUGUGAUCAUAUCGUCCACAUAUACCUCCAUAGUAUGACCGAUCAAGGGUUUGAAGAUCUUGUUCACCAACCUUUGAUAGGUAACUCCUGCAUUUUUCAGGCCAAAAGGCAUCACCCUGUAGCAAAACAAACUCAUGUUAGUUAUAAAGGUGGUGUUUUCCUCAUCCUGCUCGUCCAUGGGUAUCUGGUUGUAUCCUGAAAAAACAUCCAUGAAGAUGAGCAGACUGUGACCUGCUGUUGAGUCAACCAAUUGAUUUAUCUUUGGUAGGAGAAAACUGUCCUUCGGGCAUGCCUUAUUAAAAUUUGUGAAAUCCACACACAUUCUUCAUUUUCCAUUGGCCUUCUUUACCAGUAAUACAUUGGAAAUCCACUCCGGGUGCCUGGCCUCCCUUAUAAACCCUGCUUUCAACAGCUUCUCCACCUCGGCGUUUAUGGCCUCGUACCUUUCCUGGUUAAAGCAUCUCUUUUUCUGCCUCACCGGCCUCGCCCCCUUCUUGAUUGCCAACUUGUGGCAAGCUAUCCCGCGAUCAAUUCCUAGCAUGUCCUCGUGAGACCAGGUGAAUAUAUCUGCAUGAGACUGUAGGCACUUUACCAGCUCGCCUUUUACUGCCCCAACCAAUCCUGAUCCGAUCUUAACCACUCUGCUCGGGUUGCUUUUGCUUACCGCAACUUUUUCCAAUUUCUCAACAGGUUCUUGGUGGCCCUUUUUAGACUCUCCUCGGUUAUCUAGAAAAGUAACCUGCAGUGUCUCCUUGGCCGCGGUAGCAUAACAACUCCUUGCCAUCCUCUGGUCGCCUUUUACUACGCCAACCACUCCAUUUACUUUGUAUUUUAGUGCUAGAUAAUGCGUAAAUACAACGCAUUGGCUUAUCCUCAUGAAGGGUCUUCCCAGUAUCAUUUAGUAAGGGCUUCUUUCCUCUACCACGACAAAAUCCAGUACCAUCGUUCUUUCAAACGACUUUGUCCCCACAGUAAUUGGGAGUUCGAUGAUCCCCAUGGGAGUUAACCGUCCCCCUCCAAAUCCCUUUAAGGAUGUAUUCGUCCGUUCCAAUUUCAAGUCUGCAAUUCCCAUAUCAUCUAGGGCCGACUUAAACAAGAUGUCAACUGAGCUGCCCGUGUCUACCAGUAUUCGUCACAAUUCUAUACCAGCCACCAUUGCCUUAAUCACCAGUGCAUCCUCAUGAGGAUAUAAGAUAUCCUCUUCAUCGUCAUCUACCCACAUAAUGGGAACUUACCGCACUUUUGCCUUCUUAGCUGCUGGCAAAUUGAAAAGUACUUCUUUGCUAGUCAUGGCGUAUCUCCCAUAGUUCUUCUGUGCCCUGUUCGAAUCCCCAGCCAAGAUUGGCCCUCCUGCUAUCACACGGAUAGUCGGCUGUUCCCGUUCCAGGCCCCUCUCACCUCCUUCAUCCCGCGUGUACUGUGAUUCAAUGACGGGGGACACCUCAUCUACAUAUUCAUCCAAAUAACGGUUUCUCACCAAAUUCUCCACCUGAAUCUUUAAGUCACGACAUUGGCUGAUGGUGUGACCGUGAGUGUCGUGGAAUUUGCAAAAUCUGCUCUUAUCCCGUCGGUGAGCAGGUUUUGUUAUAGGGGCUGGAGGGUACAACAGGCCUCAUCCCUCGAUUCUCUCAUACAACUCAAAGGCGAGCCGAUUUCAGCAUCAACAUUUUAGCGCCGUCUGUGGGGAGCUGGAUAAAAAGUUACCACCGAAUUAGACAUGGAUAUGCCAAGGAAUGACGCUUUGAGGGAGAAUAACUAAGCUGGGGAGACAAUCACUCUUCAGAAAAUUACAAAUAAAGCCCGGGAGAGGGUGAUGCAAGAUCAAUUGGAGCGGAUGGAGAAACAAAUAGAGACUCUCGCGACCAUACUGUAUGAGCUGAGGGAUGAGCGGAGAAGGGAUUGUGAAACCCCCGUGGGGAGAGAUGAUGUUGGAGCAGAACCCAGCCUCCGGAAGCGUAGAGUGGAGGAAAUCCCUCCGCUGGCAGACCAACCUAAUGGGGUGCAUCCCCACAGAAGCACUGGUCGGGUUCCAGGAGAACGAGUAGAUGAAGGGAGGGACCAACCUCGCCCCGGACGGGUACUGGAAGUUGAUGGCCGAGGGGCCAGUGUUGAUGAAGGAGUGCUCAAACAGCGGUUGCAGAAUACCGAGCAGGAGCAAGAUCAGAUAGCUGCGCGUGAUCCUGACCGUGUUGUAGAAUUGAAGGGAGAGGUGCGUAGAUUAGCGCAAGUGAUAGAGGCGAUACAGGGUAAGAGGAAGCCCCCGAGCUGGAGGAUAAUGCUAGAUGAAGAAUCUCCACUAUCAACUGAGAUCAUGGGUACUGUAAUCCCAGGAGAUUUCUGCUUCCCCGACCUCAAAUACUCCGAGCGAAGUUAUCCACUGGUGCAUAUUGAACGUUUCAACGACAUGACGGGUGUUCAGGGGUUAACACCAGUUCAGAGGUGUAGGGUGUUCCCAUUGACACUAGAAGGACGAGCCCAAGAAUGGUACCGCAAGCUGUUAUGAGGAAGUAUCAGAGGGUACGAGCAGAUGUGCCAAGAGUUGGCCGAACAGUUCCGAGGAGCAGUGGCCCCAGAGGAUGAUAUGAUGGAACUAAUGGGGAUGAAGCAGGAGGAACAAGAACCCCUUCGAGAUUUUGUAAAGCGAUACCACCGAGCUGUGCUUGAUUUGGGAGCUUUCAAUCACCCGCAGGCGUUGAGGGGAUUAAAGGAGGGCGUGAGGAUAUGCCGGCUAUGGUAUAACCUGAGAAGUCCCCUGGUGCAGAAUUAUUCAGCUGGGUAUGAGCAGGCGAAGAAAGACAUUGAAAUCGAAGAAGAAAAAUCGGUAAGGAUAAAGAGUGAACAACUGGAGGAGCUGAGACGAAAGGAAAGGAGAACCCCAAGUGGGAGCGGGUCGGGAAAGCGAGCUGGGGAGUCCUCAAUGAUGGGUGCAGUAUCAGCUCGGUCUCGCCCUUACCCUACGGCUCAGAGACCGCAGCAGGUCCAACACAAUCGGGCUCAGCCCCCACGCCCCCCAUUCUUGGAGCGGCAACGAGAAUUCUGGCAGUUGGCUAACCAUCCUUAUCACAACGCUCCUAGAGCACUACAUACAGCCAACUCCAGAACGGGACGAUCAGGUCAGCUACCUUCAAUAUCCGCUCGGGAUGAUAUUCAUGAUAGCCGAGCAGUCCAGCUGAUUGACCAGAACCCAGCGUACAGACAAUACACCCCGCUAAAAGUCCCUAUGGAGGAGUUGUAUGAGAGAAUCGAGGGACGAGACUUGUUGUACCCUCCAGCCCCUAUAACAAAACCUGCUCACCGACGGGAUAAGAGCAGAUUCUGCAAAUUCCACGACACUCACGGUCACACCAUAAGCCAAUGUCGUGACUUAAAGAUUCAGGUGGAGGAUUUGGUGAGAAACCAUUAUUUGGAUGAAUAUGUAGAUGGGGUGUCCACCGUCAUUGAAUCACAGUACACGCGGGAUAAAGGAGGUGAGAGGGGCCUGGAACGUGAACAGCCGACUAUCCGUGUGAUAGCAGCAGGGCCAACCUUGGCUGGGGAUUCGAACAGGGCACGGAAGAACUAUGGGAGAUACGCCAUGACUAGCAAAGAAAUACUUUUCAAUUUGCCAGCAGCCAAGAAGGCAAAAGUGCGGCAAGUUCCCAUUAUGUGGGCAGAUGAUGAUGAAGAGGGUAUCUUAUAUCCUCAUGAAGAUGCACUGGUGAUUAAGGCAAUGGUGGCUGGUACAGUAUUGCGACGAAUACUGGUAGACACGGGCAACUCGGUUGACAUCUUGUUUAAGUCGGCCCUAGAUGAUAUGGGAAUUGCAGACUUGAAAUUGGAACGGACGAAUACAUCCUUAAAGGGAUUUGGAGGGGGACGGUUAACUCCCAUGGGGAUCAUCGAACUCCCAAUUACUGUGGGGACAAAGCCGUUUGAAAGAACGAUGAUGCUGGAUUUUGUUGUGGUAGAGGAAAGAAGCCCUUACCAGAUGAUAUUGGGGAGACCCUUCAUGAGGAUAAAACAAUGCGUUGUAUCUAUGCAUUAUCUGGCACUAAAAUACAGAGUAAAUGGAGUGGUUGGCGUAGUAAAAGGCAACCAGAGGAUGGCAAGGAGUUGUUAUGCUACAGCGGCCAAGGAGACAUUGCAGGUUACUUCUCUAAAUAACCGAGGAGAGUAUACAAAGGGCCGCCAAGAACCUGUUGAGAAACUGGAAGAAGUUGCGGUAAGCAAAAGCAACCCGAGCAGAGUGGUUAAGAUCGGAUCAGGAUUGGUUGGGGCAGUAAAAGGCGAGCCGAUUUCAGCAUCAACACUAAGUGAACAAGAUCUGUCUAUUUUCUGUAUGGCCUGGUUGUAGUCUGGAUGAUAUAAAACGUAUGUAACAAUAUACAUUAUAUGCAUGAAUGUAUAUAUCCACGUAUGUUAUUUUUUCUCUCAUAAAUGAAAAUGCUAGUCAGACUAUUAACACAUGAUUACUGACAGAGGGCAAGUGUAAUAAUACUAAAUUCCUGGAUGAUCUUCAGUAUUUUCUUGUUUCCUGGGGAGUUAUGGAAGUUGUUGAUUACAUAUAUUUCUUUGCAGAACUAGACUAGCCAUUAUCCUGAUUUCCUAAUUCCAUUUUUUUCUUAACUAGAGGUUUGAGCAAAGCACAAAUUAAUCUUUUACUUUUUAUUUCCUUAUUUGAACUUGAGUGGCUAGGUAAAUAGUUGCUUGAAAACCAUUCAGUUAGUAUAACAUCCCAGGCCCCUGAGGUUGUAGGGAACUCAGACAUUACGAAUCAUUCCUUAAACCUCAAAAACAAUAAAUAACAAAAACCAUAAUUUGAGCUUGACAUCCAACCAAUGACCAAAUCUUAGAAAAAUUUUCAUUUAUCGUAUACAUCGAAACUUAUUCAAAGAACCUAGUACAAUAAGAUGUUGAAGCCUCCAACCAAAACAUCUAUCUCUAAACUCAAUCUGCAAAAAGUUAAAAAUGAGGGGUGAACCAUCAACUUGGCAAGUAACCAAUGCAUAAUGUUAUCCUAUAUCUAUCUACUAUAAAAUGACUAUUUGUUAAAGCAUUUAGAUAUGUAAAUAAUGAGCAUUUAAGUCUCUUGGACGUUAGAACAAUUAAGCAAUUUGGAAUCAUAUAUCAAGUACAAAUUGAUAUGAUGUCAUAUUGAACACCUAUAAUAAUUGUUUAAACAUAUAAACAUAUAGACCAACGGUUACAUAAUAAUCGUUAUAAAAAAUCAUAAAAUUGGAAACCAUUAAUCAUUUUACAAUCUGUUACAUAUGUAUGAUUUAAUAAAUUAAGUCAUAAAGUAAUAACCAUUUCAAUAUAUAAUCAUUUAAGAAAUCAUUUAACAAUAAAAAUCUUUCAUUCAUUCAAUUGCUAGCCAAAAAUCAUUUGAAUACAUAACCAUUUAUUCAAUAAACAUUUCUUUAAAAUUGCUAAUGUCACUUGUACUACUGGUGACUCAGCUAGUCAAUAUAUCACUUAUAAUCUCGGUUCCCGACCAAUAAAUAUAUCACCUAUAAUCUUGGUGAGUUGGUGAAAUAUUCAAUUAGGAUACUCUACUCUGCAGUAAAUGUUAAUAGGUGCACACGAUAGAGCUAGUUGUUUAGACAUAUGAUUAAUGGUAACUACGAAUAAUGAGCCAAAACUUUAAAUAUGGUUUUCAAUAGUUUAAUAUAUAUCAAUCAUUCGAUAAUAUAUCAAUAAAAACACUCUUAUAAGACAUUUAAUGUUAAUUCUUUACAAAUACUUUUUAAGGAAAACAAUUUAUGGAAAGACAAGUAUUUUAAAGUCAUUUUGAAAAAAAAUAGGGAAAUAUUUUAAAUAAGCUUUUAACUAAAAUGUAACUCGUUAUCAUAAACUAUAGCAGUAAAAUAACUUAACAAUCAUAACUUAACAACCAUAAAAUAUCAAUCCAUAUGAAAUCUUUUCACACAUAUUUACAUUUAGACAUAUAAAAAACAUUAUUCAUAAAUUUUCUUACUCCGAUCCGCAAAAAGCAAUCAAUACCUCAAUCAUAACAUGAGCUCACCCUUACUCUAUAAUCAUCACAAUAACAUUCAUAUCAAUAUCAUUAUCGAUUCCUAACUUAACAUUGUUCCUUAAUACCUCAACUGUCUUAAAUAUGAAAGUACCAAACCAACUAAAUGAUUAAAAAUUCCAAUCACUCUAUAUAUUCUAAAAUUGAUCCAAUAAUAUGUUACUCCCAAAAUUCUAAGACUUCACAAAGAUUCUACUCAAAUAUGUGGGAUUUCAUACGAAAAUACCUAGUAAUUGAAAGAGUCACAAAUUUAUUUAAAACUCACUUUAUUACAAGAUAAACAAAACCACGUUUUCAGUGUUUAAUACUACAUGGCAACAAUUUGAAAUUUCAUGGCUAUUUACAUAUAACUCAAAAAAAUCAUGCCAUUUUGAAUUAUGUCAAUAAAUAUAAUAACAUUAGAGAUAAAAAUAUGAGAUUUAUAAAAAAAAAAUCCAGAAAAUUUCAGACUUGCAGUCGUGACUUUAGUUAUAAAAAUAAAAAAAAUAGUGAAACAAGCUUUAUAUAACAUUAGAGAUACAGAGUAAGACCUAAAAAUUUCAUGGCCAUUUAUUAUUCCAAAUAUAAUAAAGACUGAUAUGUAUUGUGAUACUUCAAUUUUGGAAAACAGUUUCCAGGAUUGCAUAAGGCCAAUUUCAAAAUUUGUAACAUUUAUUAUACAAGUCCAAAAAUCAUACACUACUAUAAAAAUGGGCUUUACUGACACUAAAUUAGUGUCAGUAAGUACUUUUCCUGACACUUGUUAAUUGUGUUAGUAAUGCUCAAGCCAGAACACACUGACACUAAUUUUUAGUGUCAGUAAGUUUUGAAUCAGUAAUUCAUGUCACUAUAGUAUCACGAAAAUAAUGAUAGGAUAGUGUUAAUAUUUGAUGAUACUAUUUAUAUGUCAGUGAUUUAUGUGACUAUAGUAUCAAUAACAAGCUAGCUCGAUAAUAUAAAAAAUUAUUCAUGUCAAUUUAAAUAUUUAGUGUCAGUAUUUAAUAAUGUUAUGCAGGAUUGGUUAAUAAUUUUUUUUAUUCUAAUUAUAUUUUUACAACCAAAAGAAAGCUCAAAAUAUAUUAAAUAUAUAAAAUGUCGCAAUAUAAUUCACAUAAUAAACAUCCCAAAUACAUCACUCAAAUUCACAUGAUUCAACUACACCACUAUCUGGAAAGGAAAAAUAUAAGUACUAAAUUAAGUUUUCAACAACCACAAAGUACUAAUUUAGUUUCCACCAAAAAGAAGCACAAGAACAUCACUCAACAUCCAUCUGCAGCUUCAUUUUUUUCCCACCUACAACAACAUAAAAUCAAUUAGUAUGGAAAUAGAUUAUGGAAAACAAAUUGAUUGUGAGUAGUUAAACAGAGCAAUUGAAGGAUGUUUCAACAACUAAUAAAACAAUAAGAGAUAAGAUUACAAUAAUACUGAAAGUUAUAGAAAUAAAGAACCUUAACUUAAGUUGUCUGAAGAAGCCAUGUUGGAUAACCUGCUACAAGUCACAGAAAACAAAACAUCUAAGUCAAUCUAAUUAAAAACUUCCUAUUUUUUAUAAUCAAACAACAGAAAUCUGCAAUCAAAACAUCCAUUUGCCCACUCAAACUUUCAGCCUUAGUAUAAACUUCUUUCACUUUAAUCUCAUAAAACUUGUCAAAUUUAUGAAACUCUCAUCAAGCCUUCUAAAAAACUACCGCUCUCAUUCCCCUCCUUCCUCAACAAUCCUCAAAAGUAUUUUCAUUGCAAAAUAGCCCAAAAAAAUUAUAGGAGUUGUUUUGACUUUAGAAUAGCAACAAAACAGCCCCGGGAAAUCUGUAGGGGCUGUUGUGCAGUGAAAACAACCACUAGAAAUUUACAGGGGCUAUCUUGUUGCUGUUCUAUAGUAGAAACAGCCCCUGCAAAUUAACACUUUCGGUGAAUUAGAAAGGAAAAUAAUGUUACCUAUGAUAGUCAUCAUUGUUGAAGUCAUAGCAGAUAGCCUGCAAAUUAACAAUAAUAACAGCAUUUACAUCAGUUUAUGAAACUGCUUUUAUUGGUUUUUUUUUUUGCAAGGAUAUGUAUAUAAAUAAUAGUGCAUUUAAACUUACAUAUAUAAUGUAUCUUAGACCAGCCAUUAAUGUGGUGUAGUUUUUGUAAAGUACCCUAUUUACCUCAGAAACUUCACUUUCCUCUAUGCCAAGAUUUUGAAUCAUCUAUUAUACACAAAGUAAAUUUGUAGAAACUAGUUAUACAUUUGUUAAACAAAUAAACAACUUAAAUGACAAAAGUUUACUAACUGAAUAGAAAUGCACCAAGGUCAUUAUAAAUUGGCACUACUUACUGAAAUGAUCAACAACAUUGACAUUAACACCUCAUACAUGAAUUCAGAUUUUAAGCGUAUAAAGAGAGUUCAAAUGAAUGAUUGCUUAUACAUUUUAUAACAGAUUUUACAACAAUAAAGUAGAUAAAUGGCAACUCUACUAGAGGUAUGUUUCUAGUAUAAGGAAUCAAGCAUAAGUAAAGGAGCAAGGUAGUAUCUUAUCAUCCGCAUAAUCAACACACCAUGACAGAAAUCGAAUCAAAUAAAUACUACGAGUGCUGAAUGGAAGAAAGAAAUUAAAACAUUUUCUGUAAAAUAUUAUUAUUAUUAUUAUUAUUAUUAUUAUUAUUAUUAUUAUUAUUAUUAUUAAUCAAUAACAGGUCUUAAUAUAAAGCGAAAAGUUUUCGAUGAUAAUAUCCAAAACUAUAUAGUCAAAUACUCAAAAGCUGAAACCAAAAUAUCAGAAAAAAAUUUAUAAAAUCAAUAACAAUAAACCUAAGCAGUAAACACAACAAACCCACCAGCUUUUUUAAUUUUCUUCUUGGCUAUUUUGGAAACGCUUCACCACAACGAGUUGGUUCUCAAGCAAAAGGCCCUUACCCAAAACCUUAAAGUAGCCAAACUGAGUCACAUCGAUCGUGGGAACAUUGUCUUUGGAAGCCUUGGCUUUGACCUCCUGAGGUACCAUUGGCCAAAGCCUUUUUUUUUUUUUUUGAUCCAUGACAAUGAAAACUGAUCUUUUAUAUAUUCAAGCAAAUGAAGCGAAACCCCUGCUCAAAGAUACCAUAAAAACUAGAUGGCAAUUUUGAACACUAGUGUCUAAAGCCCAGAGGCCUAUGUAUUUGAUAAAACAACUGACGGAACACUAAACACAUAAUGUUGAAAUUCAAAAGAUAAAAGGGUCAAACAGAGAAUUGAAACAUAAUAUGAUUCGCCCUUAAGAUAAAUUCAAGAGAGAUUCGGAAGAAGCACUGAAAAUGCCAAAAGAUCGAAGUUGCCCUUCUUGAGAAAAUCGACCUUAUGAUUACUAAGGCGAUUCAGGCAAGACAACUACUACACGAACCCUAAAAAUAAAGUUGCUUACCUUCUUCAGGGGAUGCGAGGCAAAUUAAAUUAUUACAGUAUUACUCACAACUCAAUUAAUUUGAGUAUUUGACUAAUCUAAUUCAGAAAAAAAAAAUUAAUAAAAAAAUUAAAAAGUGGAAUCUUAACUCACUGUCUCAGGCGCCCGACACGAUAGCUAAGGCUGAACGCGGCUGCAACGGCAAUAAUUUAGACUGGAGGGUGAGAUGGUGACCAGAGACGGAGAAAGUGAGAGCGACUAAACGAGCGUGAAAGAGAGGAGUUGCUGCUGCUGUGUGUGCCUUCAGAGAGAGAGUGAAAGCGAGCGAGCUACUACAGUGUGUGGUGCGACCUGCUGGGCUGCCGCCGCGCGGGCUGCGUGUGCCGUUGUCAUCGUGCGUGCUGGUAAGGCCUUAGAGAGGGGCUGCCGCUGGUUAGCGCUUAGGGAGAGUUAGGGAUUUAGGCACUUGGAAUUUUAGGGAUUUGGAUUUUAGUUUGUUUGAGAGGGAACAAAUUUUGGUGGAGGGAGAUCAAAAAUUUUGUGUUAAAUUAUAGCAAAGGGUUUGUAGUUAAUUAUAUAUGGUUUAACCAAACAAAGAAAAUAUGCACACAAGUGGUUUGUAGUUUGAAAUUAAAAUUUUAACUUCGGAGAUAUUGAGUUCGAGUCCAAGUAAAAACAUAAUUAGAAUUAUAUUUGUUUUUAUCACUGAUACUAAAGUAUCAGUAAUUACUGAGUUUUAUGUUACUGACACCUUAGUACCAAUGAUUUAUGAUACAUAUUUGUUAAAUGGAAAAAAUUAUCCAAAUGUAUACCAUCACUGACACUUUUUACGAAGUGUCAGAAACAAAGUGUCAGUAAAGGUCAUUUUUAUAGUAGUGAUAUUAAAUACGUACAUGCUAGAUAUGUAAAGGAAUCCCUAAUAAAAAUUUACUUGAUUUUAAGUACAAAAAUAUGCUUAAAAUAAAUCAUAUUUCAGACCCAUCAACUUUGAAAAAUGAUUUUAUAAAUUGCAAUAGCCCUACUUGGUGAAUUUUCAUAAUUAUUCUACUUCAUAAUGAAUUCCAAAUUGAAGUAUAACAAAUAAACAUGUUUAUCAAUGCAUAAUAAAAGCUUCAUAAAUUUUAAAUUGCUUUUUACUAUUAAGAAAAAUUAUCCAAAUUGGAACUAUUGUAAAAAAGCAUAAUUUUCCAAAAACAGUGUACCGAAUUUGAAAAUUCAAUACAUAGAAUUUUGAAACAUAUGAUAGCUCAAUAGAAAACUUGAGACGUUUAUUAUUGAUAAAAAUAAAAUUUGGUCAUAAAGAUUAUUGAGGGCACGUCAUUCUAUGUCUAAGUUGCAUACUGCUUAUAAAAACUUAUCAAUUUACAAACUCAAUCAUUUUUAAUCCAUUCUUAAUCAACAAAAACCACCAUCCAUAACAAAAAUCAGUAAAACUUGUAAACAUGAGCUAAGAGUGCAAAAAUAUUUACCAACAUCAAUCUUAAAAGCCCUAAGACAUUCCAAGAUGAAACUUCUGCACACCCAAAGGACAUGAUCGAUUGCCUUCUCUUUUGUUUUUUAACCUUUUUUCUUCUUUUUUCUUCUUUUUUUUUCUUCUUCUUUCUGUCUCUUUUUUCUUUUUCUUUCUCAAACCCUUUUUGCUCUUAUCCCUAUUCAAGCCAUUGUUUUGUUUCCUCUCAUUGACUUAACGGUGAGAACCCAAAAGAAUGAUGGAUUUGGGACUUGUGAAUGGGGUAUUAAACUUUAUUGACCUUACUUUCCUUUUUAUCCCGCUCUUUUUUUAAAAAAUUUAUCUUUAUACCACAUUUCUUUUGUCAUAUGUAAAUAUAACCAUAAAAAAAAUUUGAUAUAUACUUUUCGCCACCUUUGUUUCUAAACUUAUAUCAAUUAACCACUCUGACACUAAAAAUAAUCAUUUUACCCUAAAUGAACUAAAAGAUUAUUUUAUUCUACAAAAUUUUGAAAAAUAUAAAAAUUAUAAUUAUAGAAUACCCCUAAAUUCAAUAAAAUAAAUAAAUCUCAAAAUCUAAGAUGAUAAUUUCUAAAUAAAAUUAUAAUUAUAAAAAAUAACAUCUUGUAAUUAUAAUUUUUUGUGAUUAUUAUUACAUUUAAUUUUGUAAUUAAAUUAAGUAUAGGGAAGUUUAUAAAAAUUAAAAUGAAGAGAAAAGCUCCUUAUAAUUAUUGCAAACUUCCCUAUAAUUAAGAUUAAGAAACUUCCUUAUACAAAUUAAAUGAAAUUAUGAUUACAAAAAAAAAUUAACAUGAUAAUUUUUAAAUGAAAUUAUAUUUAUAAAAAAUUAGUAUAUUAGAUUCAAAAUUUAUUUAUUUUAUUAAAUUUAGGUUAUUCUUAUAAUUGUAAUUUUUUUAUUUUUCAAAAUUUUGUGGAAUAAAUUAGUCUUUUAAUUCAUUUAAAGAUAAAAUGGUCAUUUUUAGUGUCAAAGUGGUUGAUUGAUACAAACGUAAAAACAAAGGUGGUGGAAAAUACAUGUUAAAGUUUUGUGGUUGUUAGGUAUACAUAUGACAAAAGACAGGUGGUGCAGAGAGAUAUAUAUAUAUAUAUUUUAAAACUUAGAGAGAUAAUCACAACUUGGCAAGAUAGUACCAAGUUAAAAUUCUACUACUAUUAUCUCUCUUUAAUGCUUCUCUAAAAGUAUGGAUGCACAUAUCAUAUCAAGUCAAACAUACUCACUUAUGUACUUACUAAUUCCAUUCAUCAAUCUCUAAUUUUAAUGAGGAAAAUAAGAGUAUGAAUCUCUAAAUCUGGGGCUUUACAUCUUGAUCCUACAAAGAUGCUAAAUGUGCAUAGUCCGUGGAGCAUAGUUUUGCAGAGGAUUGAAAUUUUCACUGAAAACAAUAAGGCUAUUCUUGUUUUACUUUUUGGAGGUUACAUUUUGUUCAUUAAAUGGGAAAAAAAUUAUAUUUACAUAAUUGGGUAUAUAGUUUGCAUCAAAAGUAACAUGUCAUGAGUCAAAUAUUGCCCAUUCUAUUUGCCAUUUGCUAGGUGUUAAAAUUAGUUGCAAACAAGAUAAUGUUUCUCAAUGCAGUAGGUGUUUGUAAAGGUGAAACAUGUACACUUGGAUGUGAUUAUUUGGAAAAUAAAUAAUUUAUAGAACAUCCUGUAUCGUGCUCUGGAAUCAUCUCCUGGAAAAGUCAAAAAGAAAUCUCUUUUGGUGUCUGCUCCAUUGAAUGUGAAUAUUGCCACUUCAAUAAAAUAACAAGAAAAUGUCAAAAUGGGGGAACCUAGAGUGGAGAAAGUAAAGGAUCCAUAGUGAUCCAAGUCUGUCACUCACAGGUUGGGUGGGGAGCGUCGCUCUAAGAGUGGGUGGAAAACAAUUAAAGGAAUAGAAAGGGAGAACUGGUACGGGGUUUAAACACAGACAGGAUAUAGUUAAGGAGGUUGGUAAGAAGUUGGUGAGUGCUUUUAGUGCAACUGAUUCUAAGAAGAGAGAUGGAUGCAGAGGAGUUAAUACGUAAAUGUGAAGCCAUAAUUAAGCUUAAAAUCAGAGGAAGACGAUAUAAUAAACUUUGAGGGAAGAAUGAAAGUUAGAGGAGAGAAAGUUGCAGCACACUGCCUUGUUGGGAAAAUAUUGCAGACACGUGGAGUCUCCCGUUGGUAGUGUCGUUAAGGUGCACCAAAUUUAAAACUUUACCACUAAUAUAAAUAAUUAGUACAGAGCGAGUAAGGAUCGAUCCCACAGAGACUAUGCUAGUUAUAUUUAUUAUCAACUCUAAAGCAAGAUUUAAAAUAAAAUAAUAAUAGUAAUAAUAAUAUAAAUUAAUCUAACUAAAGAAAAUGCCAAUUAUAAAUAAAAGGGGGGUUUAUGAAUUUUUAACUAAAUAAUAAGAAAUAAAAAAUUAAAACUACGAACAAGAAUUUAAUAAAAACUCUAAUUAAAGGAGAAAGAAAUAAUAAUGAUGAAAACUUUAGUUAAAUGAUCAUUCGCCACCACCAAACAUGUACAUAAUAUAUCAAUUCUAUCAUCAAUUUAUAUUGAAACUAUCAACCGUAGACAACAAUAAGCUCUGUUAGUCUCAAUCUUUUUUUAGUGUGUCGUUAGGCAAAAUAAACUCUUCAUCUAAUCUCUAACCAUUAAAUAAUUUAAAACAAGCUCUUUAAAUUUAAGAUAGUGGAAGCAUUAAACAGAUAAAGAUAUUAGGUUGAUCUAGGCAAUAAACACACAAGCUCGGAUUAUUUAACCUAGGUUAUGUUCUUCAAUUGAAAUCACUAAUUCCAACCUGCUUCUAAUGAUUAAAAUAUCAAGACAAUUACGGAUCAAGAAUUUUAAUCUAGCAAUAAAAUUUAUUCAAGUCCUAUCUUUGGCCACUCAAAUAAAACAAGAAUAAACCAUGAACAUUAAUUAUAGAAGAACAUAAACAAUCUCAAUUAAAUAAAUGAAUGAUAGAAUUUAAAUUUAAUUGCAUAGCAUGUUUAGAGUUUUGAAUUCACCCUCAACCAAAUAAAAAUCUAGCCUAACAUAAUUAAAUUGAGAAUAAGAAAAUUGAUAAAAUCAGUCAUGGAGAUUAAUUCAAGCGGCUGCCUUUGCUUUAAUUUAAUUCCGGCUGCUGAUUUUUUUCUUCUCCUUUGUGGCUGCAAAUUGUUUAGUUUCUCUUGAUUGCCGAUUCUCCUCAGCUCGAAUUGCGUCUGCACACCUCUCUUUAUUCAAAAGCAAAACUCCCUUUUAUAUUGUUUGGCCACCGAAUCCUAUUGUGAUUCUAAUAACUAAACCAACUUUUACAAGCUAAAGCCCUAAGCUUGCCACGUAAUUGAAAACAAUAAAAGUCAAAAGCUAUUGAUUUCCUUCCUUUAUUCUACUCUGACUUUCCAUUCAAAAGCUUAAUUAAAAGCUUUGUUUUAUGUGCUGCUCACUUUAGCUUUAACCUUCUUCUUUGUUUGCACGAACGUGGAGAAUUCAAUUUAUUGGCUUCGGUUCCUUCAAACAGAAUUUCUUGCACAUCUCCUUAAUUACUUCCACAAAUUGAUUUGAUCUUCAAUGGUGUCCAAUUAUUAUUCUUUACGUACUUUUCAUCCAUAAUCUCCAAUUAAUUCAUCCAUAAUCUCCAAUUAAUUUCCUAUGUAAUAAAAUAAUUCAAUUAAUUAAAAAUAAUAAAUAAAAAUAACUACUAAUUAUAUAAUUAAGGGUAAAAUAUGUAUAUAAAUUAUGUUCAUCACCCGUGAAAGACUCAGGGGCAGCGAAGCAACAAGUGUGGAGAUCCAUAAAGGAAGUUAAAGUAGAGAGUUUAGGCGAAAACAUUUUCAUCUUUAGAUUUGCCUCAGAAGGUGAAAAAAAGAGGAUAUUGCACAGGGGACCAUGGCACUUCAACAACUCGCUAAUGGUGCUCACAGAACCAACUGGGGUGGGUAAUAUUAAGCAACAGAACUUCACCCAUACAUUGUUUUGGGUGCAACUGCACAAUGCACCUAUUAUGUGUAUGGAUAAAGACAUAAUGAGAGAGAUAGGUGAGAAGAUUGGCAAGGUUGAGGAGGUGGAAACGGAUGAAACAGGGGAAUGUCUCGGGUCUUUUGCCAGAUUAAGGAACUUGAUAGACAUAACACAGCCAUUGAAGAAGAGGGUGCUAUUAAAACUAGAAGAUGGAGAGAGGAUUUCAAUCAGAAUUGCCUACGAAAAAUUGCCUGACUUCUGUUUCUGUUGCGGGAUAAUCGGGCAUCAAUAUAAGGAGUGUCUCGAGUAUAAAGGGCAGCCGAAGGAUGAAUUAAUAGAUGGAGCAUGGAUGAAAGCACAAACAAAAGUAGAAAGAGCAAAGCAGAAGACAGAUCAAGAAUUCCGGUACAAGAAGCAAAAGGCAUCACAAUCAGCAUCGGGAAACCAUGAACAGCAAGAACAGACCCAAUCAAAAAAGGGUCAGGAAAGACCAACCGUGAUAGAUGGAUCCGGGGCAACCCAGCGUCAAGAUGACCGCAGCACAGGGCCAAUAAAGAUCAGCCAUGUGGAAGGACUAGUUGAAGGCUCAUUAAUGAAACAGGGCAGGGCUGAUAAGCAACAGACUAUAGGCUGUAGUAGUGUUGCAGAGUAGCUGAUGGGGAGUUAAUGUCUAGAGAUAUGAGCAUCUUAGCGGGAAACAAUGAAAAGAAAGAGCGGGAGAAUGCAAUGGAAAUUGAAAAAAAAGAAUACGGACUUAAUGGGCCUUAACACACGGGGAGAUGAUUUGGGCUUAACACAGAAAUUUAGCGAGGAUGAAGCAGCUGGAGCAUGCACAAAUGUGAAAGACAAAAAGAAAAAAUGGAAAUCUCAAGCGCGGGAAAGAGUUACCAAAGGAAAUGGAAAUGGUAGGCCAACUUCACUCAAGCGGCCCAGGGAGGAACAACUGAGAGUGAGCCCAGAGUGUAAAAAAAAAUGAAAAAAGGAAGUUCGGGUGUUUCACAAGCCGAGCUAAAUCAGCUUUCACUUUCCCCAGCAAAACUUGACCGUUUGACGGUGGAGGGAGAAGGAAGUUUUGAGCUUGGACAAGGGAAUGUUACAGAGAAUGCAGCGGCGGAUGUUGGAAACUAGCCCCGCCGACAGCCAUGAAAAUAAUAAGUUGGAACGUUCGGAGUUUGUGGAAUCCCCAAACGUGCCUAGCCUUGAAGAAAACUCUCCAAGCGCACAAACCUCAGUUGGUUUUUCUUUGUGAAACCAAGUUGAAGAAUGUGCAAGUUAAAAAAGAGUGUGAAAGGCUGAUGAUAGAUGGUUAUUUUGCAGGUGACAGAGUUGGGAAAAGUGGUGGUUUAGCCUUAAUUUAGAGUAAAGAUAUUGACGUCCAAAUUAAAUCAUAUAGCAGACACCAUAUAGACAUGUAUGUUAAAAAUGCAAACGGGAAAUGUUGGAGAUGCAAAGGAGUAUACGGGCACCCCAAAGAAAAUGUCAAAAUGAUCGCUUUUUCAAAAUCGGUGUUCCACAUCCUUUCCAUAUUUUUAUUCAUGCGCAAUGACGCGUAUUCAUAGUCAGAAACGGAACUUCAAAUACUAAGCCAUAUUUGUGUAUUCAGAAAAUGUAUGAACCCCUCUCACAACAUUGAAUCAUUUUCUUCCAGUUUUUAUUGAUGGAGAAUUUUCCAGGCUUCUACAUCUUUAAUACUUUGAUCUUCAUGUUAAAUAUGAAGUUAUCAUUAGCAGCUGACACAAUAACUCCAACAACAUUCAUCGGUGAUGGUGAGAAGUUAGUUUGAUCAUCCUAGAGAUUCGAGCUAGGUUUCUUCUCUCCUGGCAAUUCAAAGAACAGCAAGUACAUGGGAAUAUGGUACAAGAAGAGUCCUGACACGGUUGUUUGAGUAGCUAAUAGAAAUACCCAAUUCAUGACCCACAUGGAAUUUUAGCUAUUAGCAACAAUGGAAAUCUUGUUCUUCUCAACCAAACGAAUGGCACCAUCUGGUCUUCAAACAUGUCUAGACAAAUAAAAAAUCCCGUCGCGAAGCUGUUAGAUACUGAAAACGUUGUUCUUAGGGAUAAUUUUAGCAGUAAUACUUGUGAAGGAAACUAUCUGUGGCAGAGCUUUGACUACCCGUCAGACACUCUGUUGUCAGGCAUGAAGGUGGGCUGGAAUUUAAAGACUGGUCAGGAACGAUAAUUAACAUCGUGGAGAGCCACUGAUGAUCCAUCCCUUGGAAAUUUUACUUACAGACUUGACAUUCAUGUUCAUGCGUUACAUGGAAUAUGUAUGUACAAUGGUUCUGUAAAAAAUACCUAUUCUGGACCUUGGAACGUAGUUGCCUAGGGAGAUGCUCCUUCAUUCACAAACUUUCUUUAUGUGCAAGCUUUGGCGGACAAUGAAGAUGAAAUUUCUUUCAGGUAUGAGUCCUACAACGGUCCAAGCAUAAUGAUGUUAAAACUGAACCCAUCAGGUAAGAUCCAGCGUUUAAUAUGGAAUGAGAGGAGCUCCGCAUGGGACGUUCAGUUCUCAGCUCCUGGCAUCUGCGACACUUACGGGAUUUGCGGUGCUAAUAUUAUUUGUAGUCCUGACAACGCAUCUAAUUGUGAGUGUUUUAAGGGAUUCAAACUCAAAUCAGAACACAACCAGACCUAGACUAGAAAAUGUAUUGGUAGUCAUUCAUCAAAUUGCAAAAGUGGAGACCAGUUUGUAAAGCUCGAUGACAUUAAAGCACCUAAAAGCCUUAUAUAUUCUUUUUUUUNNNNNNNNNNNNNNNNNNNNNNNNNNNNNNNNNNNNNNNNNNNNNNNNNNNNNNNNNACUGAUUCUAAAUUAACAGGAAGAGACAGUGGCUGUUUAAUGUGGUUUGGGGACCUGUUUGAUGUCAGAAAGACACUUAGAAACUUCACCGGAUAGCCUGUCUACAUACGAAUACCCGCUUCUGAACCAGGCAUAAUUGUUGCAUUCUUGAAGUUGAUGGUACAAAAUUGUUGGGCUCUUUGUUGGAGUAAGGCUUCAUUAUAAAUCCAGUAGUCUUCUUGUUGAGUUAAAAUACAUUUAAGCCUACUCCAUUUCAGGAAUUGAAUUGCAGACUCGAGUUCUAGUAUUCUUUCAGCUCAGUAUGUGUUUCUCUCGUUCGUUAGUUGAGCAUGGGACGCACUAAUCAAAGUACUCUGCUAGGAAUCUAGUGCUUAGCUUAACAUAGGAUAUUAUUUACGCGUAAUCAUCAAAUUUAAGUCAGAGUCCUGUGGAUGCUAAAAUGUUUUUGGAUCUAGGAA
rnacentral:lncRNA from 1 species